UACGUAGGGGGCAAGCGUUGUCCGGAAUCAUUGGGCGUAAAGCGCGCGUAGGCGGCCCGGUAAGUCCGCUGUGAAAGUCCAGGGCUCAACCCUGGAAAGCCGGUGGAUACUGCCGGGCUAGAGUCCGGAAGAGGCGAGUGGAAUUCCUGGUGUAGCGGUGGAAUGCGCAGAUAUCAGGAGGAACACCAAUGGCGAAGGCAGCUCGCUGGGACGGUACUGACGCUGAGGCGCGAAAGCGUGGGGAGCGAACAGG
rnacentral:rRNA from 1 species